UGGACUCUUCCUCACGUCCGUCUGUGUCCGCAAUGAAUGCGUAGCAGAAGGGUGCUAUGCUUUGCUAACGUCGUCGGGAUUCAUCUUCUUCCCCUGUCCCCCUCCGAACACUGCAACCACAUCCGUCCCCGCACCUUCUUGAAUCCCCCAAACCAUCGCCAAGAUCGACACCGUCCUCCUCGUCUUCUUCUCUCUCAGUUUCUGCCUCUCUUGUACUUACAAGAGAACUCCCCUGAGAAUUCUGAGUGCCUUUGUCUUCGAGAAUUAUGCAGGCCUGGCGUUUCGAUCUGCUUAAAGAAGAAUUCCCCUUUGUUAGCUUGGUCUCUCCAUCUUGGUCCUGACAAGGUGUAGAGGUUUCGCCUUUUAGGUGUUUCAUUGGGUUUUGCCGCUGACCUCGAUUCCCUUUCGACUCUGGAUAGCGAGGAUGAAGGCGCUUGUACUUCCCCUGAUCGCGCCCUUCUUCUUUUUCCUGAGUCCGUGCGUCGGCAGCAUCCAGACGACCCAGCUCAGCCCCGGAUUCCGGGGCUCCGAAAUGGAGUGGAUCGACAACAAUGGGCUCUUCCUCUUGUCCAACAGCUCCGGCUUCGCUUUCGGCUUCACCACCUACAACAGUAGCGACACCACGUCCUUCCUGGUCUCGGUGAUCCACCAGGGGAGCGGCACCAUCGUCUGGACCGCCAACCGGGACGCGCCGGUGUCCCACUCUGACGAGUUCGUGUUCGACAAGGACGGCAGCGCCUACCUCAAGUCCGGUGGCGAUGUGAUAUGGUCAACGAACACCUCUGGCCAGGGAGCGACGCGGAUGGAGCUGCUGGACUCGGGCAACUUGGUACUCCUCGGCGGCGGCGACGGUAGCAGCAGCGCGUCGCCCCUUUGGCAGAGCUUCGAUCAUCCGACGGACACCCUCCUUUCUGGCCAGAGCUUCACCAAGGGAAUGUUGCUGGUGAGCGACCCCAGUGACAGUGGCUUGAGGUAUCAUCUCCGAAUCGACUCGGAGGAUGCGAAGCUCUUCGCGGAAUUCGCGUCACCCCAGCUCUACUGGUCCAUGCAGCGUGACGCUAGGAAGAUCGAUAACCAGGUCGGCGGGGACAUACGCUCCGCGGUGCUCGAAUCCAACUCAUGGAACUUCUAUGAUCAGAAUCAAUCUAGAAUUUGGCAAUUCAUCGUGGAUUCAGCUGAGACCAGUGAGAAUGUCACGCGAAUGGCUGUUUUAGACACCUCUGGCUCCAUCACAUUCUCGAUCCUCCCCAGCAGCGGCCAAGGAAACCCUUCGUCGAUCAAGAUCCCGGAAGACUCGUGUGAUACACCUGAGGCCUGCCAUCCAUACUUCAUAUGUUACCCGGGCAUCCGCUGUCAGUGCCCAAGCGUUCUCAGCCUGGACUCGAACUGUAAUCCCGGUAAUGUUUCUUCUUGUGACCCGAGCACUUCAUUCAAGCUUGCCAAAGUUGAUGAUGGAGUUGGGUAUUUCGCCACUAGUUUUGUCUCACCCAGUGCAAAGUCAAACGUGACAGGGUGCAAAGAUGCAUGCCUGGAUAACUGCUCGUGUGCUGCCUUAUUCUAUGAUGAGAAAUCCGGCAGUUGUUUUCUUUUUGAUCAGAUUGGGAGCUUCAAGCAGAUACAGAGCAACACAGCCAGUUACACUUAUAUCAAAGUGACCAGCAAUGCAGAUGGUGGCAAAGGAUCAAAUGGACAAGGAAGCAGUGGCAGCAAGACCUUGAUGAUUGUCCUAAUCAUCUCGUUCAUGACUGUUGCAGUGAUAGCAGCUCUCGUCUAUCUUGCUUGCAGGAUUCAUCGGAGGAAGAAAAUACCAGAACCAUCACAGGGGUCCUCAGAAGAAGAUAAUUUCUUGGAGGGACUAUCUGGGAUGCCGGUCAGGUUCAGCUACAGAGAGCUUCAAAUGGCUACAGAUGACUUCUCUGUCAAGCUCGGCGAAGGAGGGUUUGGCUCCGUCUAUCUAGGAAAGCUUCCUGAUGGCACAAGAAUCGCAGUGAAGAAAUUGGAAAGCAUUGGCCAGGGGAAGAAAGAGUUCCGCUCUGAGGUGAGCAUAAUAGGCAGCAUCCACCACAUUCAUUUGGUCAAACUUCGGGGUUUCUGUGCAGAAGGCGCACACAGGCUUCUGGCAUAUGAAUAUAUGGCAAAAGGAUCUUUAGAUAGAUGGAUAUUUAAAAAGAAUCAAAGAGAUUUUUCACUGGAUUGGGAUAAGAGGUAUAAUAUAGCUUUGGGCACGGCAAAGGGGUUAGCGUAUCUCCAUGAAGACUGUGAAUCAAAGAUAGUUCAUUGUGAUAUUAAGCCUGAAAAUGUGCUUCUAGAUGACAAUUACCACGCAAAGGUAUCAGAUUUUGGACUAGCAAAGCUUAUGACAAGAGAACAAAGUCAUGUAUUCACAACAUUGAGAGGCACGAGGGGAUACCUUGCACCAGAAUGGAUUACAAACUAUGCCAUAUCGGAGAAAAGUGAUGUGUACAGUUAUGGUAUGGUCUUGCUUGAGAUAAUUGGUGGCAGGAAGAACUUUGAUCCUGCAGAGACUUCUGAGAAAUCCCACUUUCCUUCAUAUGCUUUCAAAAAGAUGGAGGAAGGCAAGUUAAAGGAAAUUUUUGAUGCCAACUUGAUAUAUAAUGACAUGGAUGGGAGAAUGGAGACUGCAAUUAAAGUUGCCUUGUGGUGCAUUCAGGAGGACUUGUAUUUAAGACCAUCAAUGACUAAAGUAGUCCAAAUGCUAGAAGGACUACAAGAUGUCCCUCAACCUCCGACAUCAUCGCAGCUGGGCUUCCGGCUUUAUGCUAAUGCGUUCAAGGCUAUUAGUGAAGAGGGAACAUGUUCAGGUUCAGGGCCAUCAGACUGCAACAGCGAUGCAUUUCUAUCUGCUGUUCGCCUAUCUGGGCCUAGAUAGCAAGGGUAGUCCACUUUGAGUGCAGCCUGCCUUCCACUCACAAAGCAGCUGUUUCUGGUCCGUGAACCUGCUCCAUUGUGCCUAGUGGAGAGAAAAAGACAUGCAACGGAACAGGGAUUUCUUGGCGAUUUAGAUUUGAGCCUUUAAAUUGCUGGGGAUAUCUGUUUCUAUGGAAGCGCGAGACACUGCAGAGAGCCCGACAUCGGUCGCCGCGGCUGCAGGUUCCGAGGGCAAUGGGAGCAAGCCUAACGUCCGUAGCUUCCUCAGCGUCAAGCGCUCGGUAAGGUGCCCGUUGUCCUCACUUUUCCCGCUCGUUGGUAGUCACAUCCUUGUUCAGGUCUGGCUAGGGUUUCUUCAAGCAUUCACCACCGGGCUUCUCCCGAGCAGCGAGCUCGGCAGAGCGGAUGCUUCUCUGAAGAACAAGCCAGCGUUUGGAGAUGCAGGCGGAGUUGCAACACGUGUCGAUCCCAAUUUGAGACGAGUAUAUUAAACUCACAGUCACGUGGGCCCAACUUAACCGGGCCGGAAAUAGAUAUGAUGGUUUGGGCUUUCAGAUCACGGCGUGACGGGGGGUGGAAGCAGACUCUCUCUCUCUCCUCUGCAUUCCAUGCUUGGCAUUACAUUCCAUGAUUCGUAUCUAUCAUCUGGCUGUUGCUCGGUCGUAUAUGCAGCUGCUUGUUAUUCUCCUGAUAUCUGUAGACACCAAGAUACAUGCCAAGAAGAAACUUUCUUGAUUGUCGCUAGCAUCCUGUUGGCUUUAAGGGAACCUGUUUGAAGAAUUUACUCGGAAGCGGGGAUGGAUUCUGUGCUGGGUUGUCUAUGAUGCACAAGUGGAACAUUUCCACUUGUUUCUGAUUCCCGGAAGACGAAAACUACAAUUGCUUGAAGACCUGGCUGCCAUUGACUGGAACUGAUACAACUCAGCGUGUCAGGAUCUUCCUGGAACUUUCUAUGAUGUUGAUGCGCCAAUUUGCAGAUUGGAAUGCAUAGCCUUUGGACAUUUGUACAACAGAUGUUUCAGCAUCUCCACAACCACGAAUUCUCUAGUUCCAGAGAGUUCUUCUGGUUAUCUAGACAGAUGUGUUGAUGCAAUGGGAUGAUUCAUCAUAAAUUUCAUCUGUUUUGUCACCAAGAACGCAUGCUGUCCUUGUCCUCAUCGAUUUCUUCACCUUGGGGCUUGCUCAUUUAGGUGGUGAGAAAGGAAGAAAAGAACUUGUUGUCAUUAUCCAUCAAGGUUCUCAAUGAUCCGUCGCUCAGGGAUUAUUCUUAUCCUCCAGUAGUGCAAGCUAUGACCUUCAAGAUGUAGCUCUACCGUACUUUUAUCCUGGGGAAGAAAUGAUGAAGCUUUGUUCCAAAUAUCUUUCCUUGGUAAAGUCAAUGUAGCAGUCACUCACCACACCAGGAACUAACUGCAUACACAAGAGACCUCUGCUCAUCUGUCGUUUGUGCCGACUGCAAUCGGUAACAAUGCAGUCCAAGCUUGGAGACGCCACAAGUGUUGGCAGAAUGCAUCGAUCAUCUCGUCUCCAACUUAACUGGGAUCUUCGACUCCACUGGAUCUGCAACCAUUUUGGUAUGUUGGUACAUGCAUUCUUGUUUCUUCUGUGAGCCCUAUCUCGUAUUGCUACGCAUGAGAUAUUGAUGGACCACAGAGUUGGAUUUGGAUCGGUGACAUACUAUGUCGUUUUAAUUCAUCGGAAACAUGAUAUGUCGUGCUGUGAUUGGCUUGCUUCAUCUUGUGGCUGACAGAGGCACACAGGUAGAGCUCACAUGCGGGCGGUGGGGCUGAUGGAUCCGCUUGGCCUCCGUUGUUUUGUCCGGACGUGCCAACCGCCCGCAGGAGCAGAUGGGCUGCUGAUUCCUGCCGAUUCGAUGCAGGUGAAGCCACUCGUUCAAUUUAGAAGAUGGAGACCGGUGACCGAGUGAAGAAGAACCCAUGUUAGAAGAUGAUCAUGAUGAUGAUGCCAGGUUAUGAGAUGGUGGUCGUCAGUGUCGGGCAGGAAGAGCUCGGUCGACCUCCUCUUUUAACCCCCUCUCCUCGGGGAUUGUGAUCCAAGUAUGGGUUGCAUUGCAUGAAUCUUCAGGAUCGCGCAUCUUCAAGAGGUGCCAGGGGUGAGCAAAUUGGAGUCGUGCAAAAGCAUGAAGGGCAGUGCUCAGAGGACCAAGAAAGAAA